UAGGGAAUAUUGGACAAUGGGCGAAAGCCUGAUCCAGCCAUGCCGCGUGCGGGAAGGAGGGCCUCUGGCCUGUAAACCGCUUUUGGCGGGGGAUAAACCGGCGCUACACGCGCCGCCGAAGGUACCCGCAGAAUAAGCACCGGCUAACUCCGUGCCAGCAGCCGCGGUAAUACGGAGGGUGCAAGCGUUGUCCGGAUUCAUUGGGUUUAAAGGGUGCGUAGGCGGUCGUGCAAGUCAGUGGUGAAAUGCCGGGGCUCAACCUUGGAACUGCCACAGAUACUGCACGGCUUGAGUGCGCCCGAGGCGGCUGGAACGCGUAGUGUAGCGGUGAAAUGCUUAGAUAUUACGCAGAACACCGAUUGCGAAGGCAGGUCGCUGGGGCGCAACUGACGCUGAGGCACGAAAGUGCGGGGAUCGAACAGG
rnacentral:rRNA from 1 species